rnacentral:rRNA from 1 species
UACUGAGUUACCGCUCUACAACCCUUUGUGAACAUACCUAACCGUUGCUUCGGCGGGCAGGGGAAGCCUCUCGCGGGCCUCCCCUCCCGGCGCCGGCCCCACCACGGGGACGGGGCGCCCGCCGGAGGAAACCAAACUCUAUUUACACGACGUCUCUUCUGAGUGGCACAAGCAAAUAAUUAAAACUUUUAACAACGGAUCUCUUGGUUCUGGCAUCGAUGAAGAACGCAGCGAAAUGCGAUAAGUAAUGUGAAUUGCAGAAUUCAGUGAAUCAUCGAAUCUUUGAACGCACAUUGCGCUCGCCAGCAUUCUGGCGAGCAUGCCUGUUCGAGCGUCAUUUCAACCCUCAAGCACCGCUUGGUUUUGGGGCCCCACGGCAGACGUGGGCCCUUAAAGGUAGUGGCGGACCCUCCCGGAGCCUCCUUUGCGUAGUAACUAACGUCUCGCACUGGGAUCCGGAGGGACUCUUGCCGUAAAACCCCCAAAUUCUUUACAGGUUGACCUCGGAUCAGGUAGGAAUAC